rnacentral:rRNA from 1 species
UACGUAGGGGGCAAGCGUUGUCCGGAUUUACUGGGCGUAAAGAGCGCGCAGGCGGUCGUUCAAGUCGCGUGUGAAAGCCCCCGGCUCAACUGGGGAGGGUCACGCGAUACUGAUCGACUCGAAGGCAGGAGAGGGAAGUGGAAUUCCCGGUGUAGUGGUGAAAUGCGUAGAUAUGCGGAGGAACACCGAUGGCGAAGGCAAUCCCCUGGACCUGUACUGACGCUCAUGCACGAAAGCGUGGGGAGCGAACAGG